UCUAAAAAUAAUCGAAUCAUGGAAACGAAUUUGAUUUCCUGUAACUCUAUUCAAUCGUACAUAUGUCAACAACUUUAUGACCAAACUUGAUCUCAAGUGAUCUCUCACUCCAAGUAAUCCUCACUCUUUUCAGUCAAUCCUCAGCAUUUUCAAUCCAACUUCAUAACCUUCAACCUUCAAUUUAUUUAUAAACCACAACCAUAAUGGAGUUAAUGUAUUAAUACAAGGUAUUCAACUAAUCAGAGGACAACAAACCUUCCAAUAAGCCCAACACUAUCAUCAUCUUUCCAGGCUUUUCGCAGUACAUUGCAAAACCUUGCUCUGAAUAUUGGAAUCAAAGGAACAUUUAGAGAAAUUUAAUUUCAAAAAAGCUCAUUAUCUUCACCAUUCGCCUAAAAACGCUCACGUGGAUUACUGUGAUUAACCCAAUCCAAUAGCCUUAAGAAAUGGAAAUUAAAUGAAAUGCUGAUGAAAUCAAAUCAAUAUUAUUACAUAUUAUUUACACCGACUGAUUACAAUAAGAAUAGGAAAUUGACACUAGUUGAUAUAAUUUAGCUUUCAAACCUGUCACCCUGACUAUAGCCUGUGAUAUUCAACUGGCUUAGGAUUUUGUCAAAAGCUUUCAAUUCCUUCACUUUUUUCAAUGUUUCUUCUCGUCUUCAACCAACAUCUCAACUGGACAUCUUAUAAACUGAUUUACCAAUUACCAUGCAAUCAAGAGCAAUCUAUCAAUUGAUGUAAAUUCAAAGAGGAUCAACUUUUGAAACAUUUCAGUCUAGACUCAAAUCUUAAAAUCUUAUAAAUUUUAGCUUUAUUUUUAAAUUGAUAUUACAUUUGCUUAGAGAUGAGAUGAAAUUAGUAUAAAUUGAUGAAAUGGGUUUAGUCGUUGAGAGGUUUUCAUUUGAAUAUCGAUUUAGUCUUAAGAUGAUUAAUAUUUAUAAUAAUCAUGUUUAUCAUGAGGACAAAUUGGUUUGUAGUCACUGUAACUUCAGAGUCUUAAUCCUCUUCCGAUAGGCAUCAAAUUUUUACCAGUGACUUAACAGUAAUGGUUUUGAUUUGAUUAAAUUAAACCAAAUUUGUUAUAAGGUUAUCGAACGUAGUGUUUCAUCGUAAGUGUUGUUUUUUGAUUUUCAGCUCUAAGCAGAAUCAAUUGAAUUAUAAUUGGAAACUAAUAAUUGAAAGGUUAUUAAUUUCCACUAAUAGCUUAUAUAACAUUUACCGUUGAGAAAAGAGAUUAUAGUGGAUGUAUUUUUAGUCUUUUUACUUUGAGUAAGACAGCUUAAUCCAACUCAAUUUAUACAUCCAUUAUGGAUGAUCCAUACACACAAUGUAUAAAAGUCAAUGUAUCAAAUUUUUGGGUCAAAAUUGUGGCCAAAUGGAAAGGGUUUUAAGAAGACAAAAAUUACACAAAACUAAUGUUUGUUGCAAAAACAUUGAUUCAACAAUACAAACGAAAAAUGUGAAAUCUAAUCUCAGAAUCUCAAUUCUGAUAAAUUCAUGAAAAUAGAGGCUUGGGGGAAAUUACAGAAUCCAUAUUCAAUAACAUUUCUAAAAGACGGAAACUACUUUGGUUAUUAAGGUUGGUGGUUUAUUGUUAGAUUGGGAUUAUGUAAAACUUUGUCUCUUGAGUAACAAGUAAAGAGUUUGACAAAAAAAUCUGGUGCCUCGAAUGUACAAAAGGAGAUCGAAGUAACUUUGAAGAGUGUCGAUCAAGGAAUCUUUUUUAUUGCACGAAUUGACCCAGUUUUCAGCCCAUACAACCAACAAAAGCAAAAACUCUCAACUCAAAAGAAGUUUCUGCUUAAAGAAAGGUUUUAUUAAGAUUUUAUUUUUGUAUUUCUUAUUCUGGUGAUGGUUUUUGUUCAUUAGGAACUUGGGUCUUCUCGAUGUGGAUAUAUUGUUUCCUACUAGAAGGACUUUACGAUCAGUCAUGAUCGGGGAAUCCACUUGAUGAUCCUAAAUAAUGUGAGUUUAUAUUUUGUAUAGAGAAUGAAAAGUCCUACUGAUUAGAGACAUUUUUCACGACAAUCUUUGAUUGGUUUGAAUGUUAAUUUAUUGUCCAAGUUGAUGAAUUUUAAUCUGUUCAUUAAAAAUCGUUGAGCUCAAAUUUUAACCAAUUCUAUUAUGGAAAACUAAAAUGAAAGUGAAUCUUGAUUAUUUUUAUGGGUAAUUGUUAGAUGGUUACUGGCAUUGAAUUAGCUAUCAC